GAGAUUGAGUUUCACCCUUGUUGACCAGGCUGGAGUGGAAUGGAUGAUCUCGGCUCACUGCAACCUCUGCCUCCCGGGUUCAGGCAACUCUCCGGCCUCAACCUCCUGAGUAGCUGGGAUUACAGGUAUGCGCCUCCAUACCUGGCUAAUUUUGUAUUUUUAGUAGAGAUGGGAUUUCUCCAUGUUGGUCAGGCUGGUCUCAAACUCCCAACUUCAGGUGAUCCACCUGCCUCGGCCACCCAAAGUGCUGGGAUCACAGGUGUGAACCACCACGCCCGGCCAAUUCUGUAAUUCUUAAAAGCUGGUGUGUAGAAUGGGAACAUAGUGGGGUUUUCAUUACAAUAGUUUAACUUUCCCCAUAUUAGGAAUAUGUGUAUGGG
rnacentral:lncRNA from 1 species